AGAGGGGAGUUGUGUUGUCGAUUCAGGAGAGACAAUAACUCUGUCCAACAUGGCAGUGACCUUACUUUGAGAUACAACGUGUCAUCCAGCUGAAUUAUGGCUUGUCUCGUAGUAUCCUCUCUCAGUGCUAUUCAGAGCUGUAAAUAACGGUAGUACAAAAUUCUGACAGAUCUUUGUUUAGACAAGGGACUUGACUCGACUGGACCAGUAAAACCAUGGCAUAAUAACCUUUUAAGAACAACUCUAAAUUUUUCCCUUUCUUUUAGUGUAAAGAAGUACUUCUGAAAACAUUCACAGAUGGUGAAAAACCCUGAGAUGUCUCAAGAAAAAUAACUUCAACAUUCAAAUUACUGACAAAAUGUUGCCCUCCAGAGGAAGCUACAACGAGACUGCGCUGCCAAUUUGCAAUCUAUCUAUUCUCUACCAUGUGGUACAACUCUGCUUUCUCUCCAAACCUGAUGGUUGGUUCGAAUCCAACUGGCCAAUCUGGGCCUCUCCCCUGAGAAUUUCCUUUGAUUCUUAUCCUGACGUCUGACAUUAACGCCGGGCAUCAAACCAAAAUGCCUACCAACCCUGCUCUCUCUUCCUUCAGCACAGAAAAAACAGCGGGUCUGUUUUCACAGCUCAGGUCUCCUGAAGUCCCGCCUGCCUGCCAAGUCACACAACGACUUCCUCCAUCUCAUCAGCUCGGUGUUAUUGAAGCAAAAAUCAUCCCUUACACAGGCUUCCAGCGUGUUAUUCAUAUGAUUUAGAACGAGUUAUUCUAGAUUUGUGAACAUGUACACAUCUACCAAUAGCUACAAACACCAGUGUUAACAUUGUAAUGUUAUUAAAUGCAGCUGUCCCUGUAUAAAUUAA